ACGCCGCGUGGGGGAUGACGGCCUUCGGGUUGUAAACCUCUUUCGGCCUUGACGAAGCUCUUCGGGGUGACGGUAGGGGUAGAAGAAGCACCGGCCAACUACGUGCCAGCAGCCGCGGUAAUACGUAGGGUGCGAGCGUUGUCCGGAAUUAUUGGGCGUAAAGAGCUCGUAGGCGGUCUGUCGCGUCGGUCGUGAAAACUUGGGGCUUAACCCUGAGCUUGCGGUCGAUACGGGCAUGACUGGAGUUCGGCAGGGGAGACUGGAAUUCCUGGUGUAGCGGUGAAAUGCGCAGAUAUCAGGAGGAACACCGGUGGCGAAGGCGGGUCUCUGGGCCGAUACUGACGCUGAGGAGCGAAAGCGUGGGGAGCGAACAGGAUUAGAUACCCUGGUAGUCCACGCCGUAAACGGUG
rnacentral:rRNA from 1 species